CCCUUAGAUGUCCUGGGCCGCACGCGCGCUACACUGAGUGUCUGAGAUACGAGUCUGCCUGGUCCGGCAAGGUCUAGGUAAUCGCUAAAAGACACAUCAUGCUUGGGAUAGAUUAUUGCAAAUAUUAAUCUUGAACGAGGAAUUCCUAGUAAGCGCAAGUCGACAGCUUGCGUUUAUUACGUCCCUGCCCUUUGUACACACCGCCCGUCGCUACUACUGAUUGGAUGUUUAAGCGAGGUUCUCGAACUGCUAGCGACUUAGCUUCGGUGAGGUCGCAGUGUGGGAAGUGAACCUAGCUUUGGUGUCUAGAGGAAGUAAAAGUCGUAACA
rnacentral:rRNA from 1 species